GACGAACGCUGGCGGCGUGCUUAACACAUGCAAGUCGAACGAUGAAGCCAGCUUGCUGGUGGAUUAGUGGCGCACGGGUGAGUAACACGUGGGUGAUCUGCCCCAAACUUUGGGAUAAGCCUGGGAAACUGGGUCUAAUACCGAAUAUGACCGAUACUCGCAUGGGUGUUGGUGGAAAGCUCCGGCGGUUUGGGAUGGGCCCGCGGCCUAUCAGCUUGUUGGUAGGGUAAUGGCCUACCAAGGCGACGACGGGUAGCCGGCCUGAGAGGGCGACCGGCCACACUGGGACUGAGACACGGCCCAGACUCCUACGGGAGGCAGCAGUGGGGAAUAUUGCACAAUGGGCGCAAGCCUGAUGCAGCGACGCCGCGUGAGGGAUGACGGCCUUCGGGUUGUAAACCUCUUUCACCAGGGACGAAGCGAAAGUGACGGUACCUGGAGAAGAAGCACCGGCCAACUACGUG
rnacentral:rRNA from 1 species